CAAACGGCGGAAACGAAUUGUUGCAUGUGGCGCCUCCGUAGCUCAGGUCCGUGCGCUGGCCACGUAGCUCGACUGGCCGCCUUUACGGCGUGCCGUGUCGUUGUCGGCUCAUCCGGUGCGGCCUCUGCUGUCGCGGCGAGCUUUCGCACCACCUCAGCGGGUACCGCCCUCGUCGUAGCCCACCGCGCCAAGAGUUAUCACUUCUUCAUGAACCUAGACGACCCUGACGCGACGCGGCGCCGCAUCGAAGACGACCUGGACCGCCUCGCCAGCGACGAAAAGAAGAACACGACGGCCUACCUGCACAGCCUCCUGAAUCUGGCUCUGAGCCACUACCAGCGCGGCGACUUUAUCAGCGCACGCGACAUGGCCGACUACACCCAUCAGAGGGCGCUGGUGCACAACUCCAAGUCUUCUUUGAUCUACUUCACGGCAACGACGUGCGCCCGUUGCGCCGAGGCACUGGCGAAAGAAUAUGAGGCACACCUACAGCGAAAGGAUGAACAAAGCCACGUAUCCGCCGCCCUGACGCCGGAGCCGUCGGUGGUGUUCAGUGCGCGGCGCGCCAUCAAGAAGCUGCGCGCUGACGCGGAGCGGUACCGCGCCAUCGCCCAUCGUGUGUACCACCGCCCUGACAUGGCGUUCAUGCGGGGCAGCGGCGACGGAGGUGGUGGGAGGUGGCGCUCGUCGGCACGACACACCGAGGGCCGUGACACCCGCCACACGUGGGCGGACGACAGCAGCAACAACGGCGUUGAUGAGGAGUACAUGCCGUACAUAUACGGCCCCCGUUGGCAGGAUCGACGGAAGCGGCCGGAGCACGCGGAGAUGAAGCACUACUACAAGCAUCAGUGCGGGACGUCGCCGUCGUCGCGUGGUGAGACGCGGUGGAACGUGCCUAAGUGAUAAAGCGAAGGAAUCGUGGCAGCAGCAUGCCUGCACGUAAAAUGAGGAGGGAAGCAUUCGUGUGCUCGCCUUGAAAGUCGCUCCCUUUUCUCAACCUGUCGCACCGGGUAGGUAUGUGCGCGGAGGCAUGGCCAGCGCGUCCCGACGAGGAAUGCGCAUCCUGUUGUCCGCCCACCCCAUCCAUGAAGUGUCGCCACACCGGUGUGCCAUGUCUUUGCGUGUAGGCCGCUCUUCUUCCUCCAUAGGCACAGCGGUCUUUUGAUGGAUGUCGCCGAUGCUUCGGGCGCUGUAGAACUCGUUGCCCGCCCACCUCCUCGCCCUGGUCGGUGAACGCACUCGCCAACAUCAGCUGGUGAUCAAGCACACACACAUACACACACGCACAACUCGAAGAAGGGGAAGGGAGGGCGAGAAUUACGUCGAGCGAAAAACAAGGAGCACCGCGCACUGCAGCUCGCGGCGGCGUCUCGUCAAGAGUUACGGCUUUUUC
rnacentral:misc_RNA from 1 species